AUCAGAUGAUCCCUGCAAAGGCUAUUCCAGACCUUCUAAGAUGGAAAUCGAAAUAGAUUGUGGCAUUCAACUGAGAUCACUGGGGAAAUACAAGGAAAUACCAUGGACUCUGAUUACAACUUCCAUCAGGACAUAGGACCAAUUCUCCUGACUUCAGAGAAAGUACUUCUUUUAACCUGAAUGCAUACAAAAAUGCUGUUUUAAGCACUUUCUAAUAGAACAAGCAGAGAUCCCUGGAACAAAAAGAAUUACAAAGCAUAAAUCUUUCAGCCAAAAAGAGGAACAGAAAAGAUGCCAACUUGUAUGGAGAUGUGGAAGUGAGAAAACCUUUGAUCAGUACUUCAUUAGAGUAUUCAAGAGGAAGAAACUUGGAAGCUGAUGGAAAAUCAAGCAGCCUAGCAUAAUCCAACAUUUUUGCAAAGACUAUUUGGCUUCAAGAAAACUGGACAAGAGUGAUGCACUGUUCAUCUAAACCAUGGCCACUGCUUGUGAAACUUCCCAGAGCAGUUUCAUCCUGGCAGUGGAGACACCACUGACCUCUGUGAAAGGUGAGUGUAAGAAAGUCUAAAUGCUUCUUCGUCAAUACUACACCAUUGCUGCAAAUAUGACACCAAGUGGUACACAAUCAAAACAGGAAAAGAGGGCAAGACACACACCAAUUCCAUCAAAUUUGCUUCAGCUUCCUUAAAACAUUAGAUAACAAAACUCUGGAUUAGAGGCUGGGCCCAAAGCUAUAUAAGCUUCCCUCAGUUUUCUGACAUCUGAGAAACUGAAACUAAACAGUCAAGAUACAAGACAGGUUAAGUGUACAAGGAUAUGUACAUUUUCAUAAUUUCCUGAAGAGUACCCUUUUAACAAGGACUGAAGAAAUGG
rnacentral:lncRNA from 10 species